GACGAACGCUGGCGGCGUGCUUAACACAUGCAAGUCGAACGGGCCCGCUCUCUUUUUUGGGGGUGGGUUGAGUGGCGAACGGGUGAGUAUCACGUGAGUAACCUGCCCCCUGCUCCUGGAUAACUGCUUGAAAGGGCGGCUAAUACGGGGUGUGCCGGCUGGUCCGCAUGGGCCUGGUCGGGAUAGUUUCAUCUUCGGGUGUUUCGGUGGGGGAUGGGCUCGCGGCCUAUCAGCUUGUUGGUGGGGUGAUGGCCCACCAAGGCGGUGACGGGUAGCCGGCCUGAGAGGGUGGGCGGCCACACUAGGACUGAGACACGGCCCAGACUCCUGCGGGAGGCAGCAGUGGGGGGUAUUGCACAAUGGGCGGAAGCCUGAUGCAGCGACGUCGCGUGAGGGAUGGAGGCCUUCGGGUUGUGGACCUCUUUCUCCGGUGGUGAAGGCCCUGUCCGUUGCGGCGGGGUUGACGGUAGCCGGGUAUGAAGCGCCGGCUAACUACGUG
rnacentral:rRNA from 1 species